AGGCGUUAUUAGCAUAUUUUUCAUCAAUACUAUACUUAACAGCUCCUCCAUAGCAGGAAGUGGUAUUUAACCUCUUGUUCCAACGUAACGAGAUUACUUUGGUGGUUAUGUUCGUUCCAUUCAUAAAGAGCCUCCUGUGCCCACUUAAUGAGAUUCGCUGGGCUCCAGCUGAACUGGGAGCGAGCUCCGGGAUGGAUUCGGAAUAUUGACAUUUCAACCUGGGUUUGUGUCCGAGGCUGCACUGGGGCGGUGUGAAGCCCCAUGGUGACAGAUAAGGGGUGUCGCUGGAAAAUCCUGCAGCUUCUGGUAGUUAAAGGUUGUUUGGAAUAGAUGAACAUCACCUGAGGUUUGAGGCACAGCCAGGUGAAACUGGUUUUUCCUUUAUGUGGAUAUAAAACUCUGAGCUGGGGGGCUCUGCUGCUAUAAAACUUUGGUGUUUCACUGAAUUCAGUGAAUGGGAAAAUGACAGAAGUAGAAUUUGGAAUAAAGCUACAAAGCAGGAAUCCAUCCUUCAGCCCACCCACAUCAGCACAGCAAGAGCUGGAACUGCAGCACGUGUGGAACAUCCUGUGCUGGUUGUGCUGCAUUGGUCUGGGGAUUAAACACCUCUGGAGAGGCAAAGGAGCUCCAGUUCUAAAUGAAACCUCAAAUAUCGUGGGAGCUGGAAACCCGAAACCCCAGAGUUUGUACCAAGAACCUGCUGGAUUGAGCAGCGGGGCUCUGAAUAUCCUCAUUCAUCUCCAGAAUCACCAUCAGCUGCCUCUGUGACUGCAGAGCCCCAAAAUUAUGGAAGUUUGCACAAACAGCCCCUCACACUGUGAAUUAAACCCCUUUUUCCUUGGUUUUGAGCACUCAUGGAUGGAACUUCCAUCGUGUUUCACAGAUAACAAAAUCACAUGGCCAGCCCAGGAGCAUCCUGAGCACUCCCACCCAUCCCAGGAGGGCUCUGGAGGAUGGGGCUGGGAGAAGAUGCUGUUCUCUGGCUGUGGAACAAGAGCAGAGCUGGACAUGCCACUCCUCAGGACUCAGUGAUGAUUGCCACACCAUGAACACAAACUCAUGUCUUCAGAACUUCUCCCCUGUGAUCAGGUUUGACCGAGGCGCUCGGCAGCUUCUAGAAUGGAGGAUGGACUGAGGGGAAACAUAACCUUUGUUUUGCUAUACAGGAGAAAAAAAAUACAAAUAAAAAGUCCCUCCAUUAUCACAGUUAUAAUGGUAUAAAAGGCGUUUAGGGAGGAGUCUCCUGGGUUUGGAUUGGGAUAGAGUCUGGAAGAGUCACUGCCCUUGCCAACACUCAGUUUAACACCCUUAUGAACUGCCUCUGAAUUUGAAUGUCUGAGUCUCUGCACUCAAUCUUGAUAAACUGGCCCGACCAUGAAUGCUAAUCACCCUGAUUUACAUUGCCUGCAGAGCUAUGGACAACUUCAUAUCAGCAACCUCGCAGCAGCUCCCUUGGCAUGUUCCAACGGGGAACUUGGGAACUUCCCCCGUGCCUCCUGGGCACUGGAGAGGAGCCCUGGGAGUGAGGGAAUGAGCACUGGGAGUGAGCAGUGGCAGUGUGAAUGCAGUGGACUGUGCAAUGAGCACUGGGAGUGGAUGAGCACUGGGAGUGAGGGAAUGAGCACUGGAGUGAGAGCACUGGGAUAGCGGAGUGUGAUACUGGGAAGUGAGCACUGGGAGUGAGCAGUGGGAGAGGAUGGCACUGGGAGAUGGCACUGGGAGUGAGGAAUGAGGCACUGGAUGACUGGAAGUGAGCACUGGGAGUGAGCAGUGGAGAGUGCACUGGGAGUGAUCAGUGUGCACUGGGAGUGUACUGGAAGUGAGGGAAUGAGCACUGAGCCCUGGGAGUGAGCACUGGGAGCUUUGUCUGGCAGGAGCUGCAGCAGCGCAGGAACACCAAGGGAACUGCUGUGCUUCAAAGACCCUUCUCUUUUUUGGCUCUCCAAGCUCUAAAGAUGUAGGUAACACACGCGAAAAGACAUUUUCAGUUACAUUUGGGUUCUGAACACAUAAAGAAAGAUUUAAGUUUGAAACUUGUGUGUUCUUCUCAGCAACAAGCGGAGCUGCCCAGAGGAGCCAAGGCAGGAUUUGAGGCAGUGUCCUCUCCCUCGGUGAGAGUUAGCAAUGAGCACAGGGAGACAGACACAACACAUACAUCAGCACACACAUCCCUAUCCGGUUUUUCCAUGGAUGGAACCAUUCCAGAGGACAGCAAUUCCCAGGGCUGGGCAGAGCCAGCUGCUGGCAGUUCCUGGUGGCAGGAGCUCCACGUGCUGCUGGGGCAGGGUGUUCCAACAGCUCCUGUUAUCACCACCCGAGCUGCUCCUGGAAACUCGCUGCGCAGCUCCCUUGGUGGUAGAAGAUUGUUCUUCUGCGCUUUUCUUAAAAAAAUAAAUAAAAUGUCAAGCCCGAAAAGGAAGCCUGCUAUUUUUCAAAUCCGGGAGCUGUAAUCAUGCUAAUCCAUAUGAUCGUGCUGAAGCCAAGCAAAAUGCCUUUUGCAUAUGAUGUAAUCAGCCAGGGCAGCCUAUUUAUAACCACCACGGGCUGGGAACACCUUCCCAGAAAAAUACAAUCAGGACAGCUUUCCCUUGCUCACAUUCUUCCUCUUCCUCCCCGUAUUCUUCACUUUCUUUGUGCUUUUUCACCUACUUGUGCUGCCUUCCCAG